ensembl:lncRNA LINC00616 long intergenic non-protein coding RNA 616
CACACCUGCAAUCUGACCCCUGACUGUGAAGCCACCGAAAGGAGACUCAUGCAGGUGAAUCCCUGGGUGAUGCUCUUCUGUCUGGACAUCUGGUAGCUGCUGAAAACAAUAGCUAUCAACUCAAAGAGUUUUAUCCAAAACAACUGAUGUAGAAGCUGCAGUUUGCCUCCACCUCUGAAGAAGCACAAUACACCUUUCUGGGUUACCAAUGGGAUACUUCCCAACAGCUUUGUCAUCACAUACAAUAUUCUCAAACAAGAUCUUAAUGGCAUCUACUUUCUCCAGGAACACAGCCCCUGACCUGUGUGUGUUUGCGUAGAGAAGGCAUGCUAUGUACCCCCUAGGAUAUCAAGAUUCCUGUAGCAGAUUGAGCUCUGGCAGUUGAUCUCAGUGGCUUGAUAGAGUGUCAUUAUAAAAACGCACCUGGAAGAUUCUGUGGAAAAGACAACCUCAGAAGACCAAGAGGCUGACUUUGCAAGAGAGAGUCCGUUUACCACUUAGAACCGUGAACACCACCCCCGCCCUCAUUUAUCUCCAGACUUGAACUAGUGGUUAAAUCCCAACAUGUCCCAGAGAAGUCAAAAGCAUUGUAAAAUCUGGGAAUCUGCCCACCACUCAAGCCUGGGAAAGCUGGCAGAGGAUGCACGUGUUUUACUCACCUGAGUGUUUACAAUGCUCGUGAGGUGCCUCCCUGAUAGGAAAGGCUGGUAAAAUGCCACAGCGUUCUGGCUAAAGCAACAACGCAAUUGUGAAGAGAGAAAACUGCAUUCAUCCACAUGUCCCAGCAAGAGCUAUCACCAAAGGCAUUGUGAAGCAGUUGAGCAGUUACAUCUGCUCUCCUUUAACAGGAAUGAGUCUUUAGUACCCGGUUGCAAAUGUUGACUUUUACCUUUUCUUUAAAUGUCUGCUACUCUUUGUCAUAUUUCUUCUCCUUCUCUCCAAAUUCUACCAAUAAAAGUAAAAAUUACUGAA